AGAGUUUGAUCCUGGCUCAGGAUGAACGCUGGCGGCGUGCUUAACACAUGCAAGUCGAACGAACCUUCGGGUUAGUGGCGGACGGGUGAGUAACGCGUGAGAAUCUGCCCUCAGGAGGGGGAUAACGGCUGGAAACGGCCGCUAAUACCCCAUAUGCCGAGAGGUGAAAUGAAUUUCGCCUGAGGAUGAGCUCGCGUCUGAUUAGCUAGUUGGUAAGGUAAGAGCUUACCAAGGCAUCGAUCAGUAGCUGGUCUGAGAGGAUGAUCAGCCACACUGGGACUGAGACACGGCCCAGACUCCUACGGGAGGCAGCAGUGGGGAAUUUUCCGCAAUGGGCGAAAGCCUGACGGAGCAACGCCGCGUGAGGGAUGAAGGCCUCUGGGCUGUAAACCUCUUUUCUCAAGGAAGAAGACAUGACGGUACUUGAGGAAUAAGCCACGGCUAAUUCCGUGCCAGCAGCCGCGGUAAUACGGGAGUGGCAAGCGUUAUCCGGAAUUAUUGGGCGUAAAGCGUCCGCAGGCGGCCUUUUAAGUCUGUUGUUAAAGCGUGGAGCUCAACUCCAUUUCGGCAAUGGAAACUGGGAGGCUGGAGUGUGGUAGGGGCAGAGGGAAUUCCCGGUGUAGCGGUGAAAUGCGUAGAUAUCGGGAAGAACACCAGUGGCGAAGGCGCUCUGCUGGGCCAUAACUGACGCUCAUGGACGAAAGCCAGGGGAGCGAAAGGGAUUAGAUACCCCUGUAGUCCUGGCCGUAAACGAUGAACACUAGGUGUCGGGGGAAUCGACCCCCUCGGUGUCGUAGCCAACGCGUUAAGUGUUCCGCCUGGGGAGUACGCACGCAAGUGUGAAACUCAAAGGAAUUGACGGGGGCCCGCACAAGCGGUGGAGUAUGUGGUUUAAUUCGAUGCAACGCGAAGAACCUUACCAGGGUUUGACAUCCUGCGAAUCCCUUGGAAACUAGGGAGUGCCUUCGGGAGCGCAGAGACAGGUGGUGCAUGGCUGUCGUCAGCUCGUGUCGUGAGAUGUUGGGUUAAGUCCCGCAACGAGCGCAACCCACGUCUUUAGUUGCCAGCAUUUAGUUGGGCACUCUAGAGAGACCGCCGGUGAUAAACCGGAGGAAGGUGUGGAUGACGUCAAGUCAUCAUGCCCCUUACAUCCUGGGCUACACACGUACUACAAUGCUACGGACAAAGGGCAGCAAACUCGCGAGAGCUAGCAAAUCCCAUAAACCGUGGCUCAGUUCAGAUCGUAGGCUGCAACUCGCCUACGUGAAGGAGGAAUCGCUAGUAAUCGCAGGUCAGCAUACUGCGGUGAAUACGUUCCCGGGCCUUGUACACACCGCCCGUCACACCAUGGAAGUUGGCCACGCCCGAAGCCGUUACUCCAACCCUUGUGGAGGAGGACGUCGAAGGUGGGGCUGAUGACUGGGGUGAAGUCGUAACAAGGUA
rnacentral:rRNA from 1 species